AUUAAUAUAAAGAGUCGAACCUGCCCAAUGAUAUUUUUAAAUGGCCGCGGUACUCUGACCGUGCAAAGGUAGCAUAAUCAUUUGCCUUAUAAUUGAAGGCUAGCAUGAACGGUUUGACAAGAGUAGCACUGUCUCUACUAAAUUUUAUAGAAUUUGGUUUUUAGGUGAAGAAACCUGAAUAAAAUUGAAAGACAAGAAGACCCUAUCGAGCUUUAAAAAAUUUUUCUUAAAGAUUUUAGUUGGGGCGACUAAGGAACAAUAAAAGCUUCUUUUUUGUAUACAAACUUAUAUGUUUUGAUCCAAAAAAUGAUUAAUAGAAUUAGUUACCGUAGGGAUAACAGCAUAAUCUUUUUUGAGAGUUCUUAUCGAAAAAAAGGUUUGUGACCUCGAUGUUGGACUAGGAUAUCCUAAAGGUGUAGAAGCCUUUAAAGGUUGGUCUGUUCGACCAUUAACA
rnacentral:rRNA from 1 species